UACGUAGGUGGCAAGCGUUAUCCGGAUUUAUUGGGUGUAAAGGGCGUGUAGGCGGGAGCGCAAGUCAGAUGUGAAAACUCAGGGCUCAACCCUGAGCCUGCAUUUGAAACUGUGUUUCUUAGUGCUGGAGAGGCAAUCGGAAUUCCGUGUGUAGCGGUGAAAUGCGUAGAUAUACGGAGGAACACCAGUGGCGAAGGCGGAUUGCUGGACAGUAACUGACGCUGAGGCGCGAAAGCGUGGGGAGCAAACAGG
rnacentral:rRNA from 1 species